GAGACCCACGCCAACAGUUGCCAGCAUGUCCUCCGGGAUGGUGGGGACACUGUUGGGACCGCCUCUGCUAAAGAGGAGGAAGGAAUGGGCAACGGUAGGUCAGCAUGCCCCGAAUUAUCCGGGCUACACGCGGGCUACAAUGGUCAGGACAAUGGGUAUCGACACCGAGAGGUGAAGGCAAUCUCUUAAACCUGUCCUUAGUUCGGAUUGUGGGCUGCAACUCGCCCACAUGAAGCUGGAAUCCGUAGUAAUCGCGGAUCAACAUUCCGCGGUGAAUAU
rnacentral:rRNA from 1 species